GAGGGGAUAGCUCAGUGGUAGAGUGCAUGCCUAGCAUGCAGGAGGUCCUGGGUUCAACCCCCAGUACCUCCA
rnacentral:tRNA from 1 species